UACAUUUUACAUCUAUUCCUACUAAAGUUAUAUGGAAAUCCUAACAAUCCUUCCAAAUUCUACCACUUUCUAUUUAAUAGAAAGACAAUUCAACUCCAAGGAACAAUUUCUUCUACAGCUUGGAAUAUCAUUAUUUACAUUUACACAGCAUCUCUAGAAGCACUCAGUUUAGCUUUCCUCAUUUAUUUUCAAAAGUUGCUGAAAUGGAUUCAUUUCUUUUAGAGUUUGUGAGUUGUAAUUCCCAAAACUUGCUUGGUUGUCUGAGUGAGGUGUUGAUAUUGUCCACUUAUUAAUGAAACAUUUCAAAGCAGUGAGUUCAGCCAGCACGUGACAACUGCUAUUUAUCCAUAAGUUUCUGUUUUGAGUCUAUCUGGACUUCCAGAGAUUCCUAAGAAUUUUAGCAUGGUAGAAAAUAACAGAAAGCCUUAGAAAACACAAUUAAAGGAGAAAAAUAGAAUAAAUGUGAACUUCAGAAAUGUAGUUACUAGCUACAGAUAGACUGUGGAGUUCAGCAGAGGUACCUCAGCUCUGAAAGGUAUGAAAUAUUUCACGUUUGAGAAUAAGUGAGCAUUAGAGUCUGUUAAUACAGAAAGGUUAUUUACUCUAGUAGUGAGCUUAAAUACAGUAAAUUACUGACAUACAUUCAUUACCUCUGAUAUUAAUGCUGAUAUACUCUCUCUGCUCUGGUUGUGAAACACAGAAAGCUCUGUCACACAGUCUUCAUCAAGGUGCCCCAGCUGCAAGAACAAGACCUAUACUGAAGAAACAGCUUCCAAGUCAUCUCACAGAGCCAAUAUCACCACGAUAGUCUUCUGAUAUGCAGCAAUCAAGCCAACAUUUAGCCACAAUUCCAGAUUUUCUAUUUUAAAUAGUUAGCAUCAGGGCUAAAUACUGCAAGGAGUAAACAGAAAGAGUCACCAAACUUCAGCAACUGGUCCCUCAGUGGCAGCAGGUUCUGCAUUCAAGUACAAAAGCCUGUCAGCAGAUGAGAUUUUCACUAGAGCACAAGUUACACCUCUAUCCCCUCUUACUUAUUCAGUUGCACGGCAUGCACAGCACAGUGCUGUACGACCAGCACAGCUGUUCUUCAGAGAAGCAGUGGCACCCAGAGGCCAGCAGCAGCCAUUGGCUGCAAACACACAGCAACUUCUCAGUAUCUACACAAGAAUCUCCCUCACACACCCAAUUCCCACCCCCACCCCAACCCCCAUCCCAACCUUCCAGAGAAUCACAGAACGCCUUGAGUUGGAAGGGACCUUAAAGACCAUCAAGCUCCAAGUUGCAAAGCUGCAACUCACCAGAUCAAACUGUCCAGGGCCUCAUUCAACCCAGCCUUGAGUACCACCAGGACGAGACAUCCCCACCUCCUGUUUUACCCACUGCACCUCUCAGCACGGGGCUGCCUGCAAACUUUCUGAAGUGCUCUCUAGUUCCAUUCCCUCUGUCACUGACAAAGGUGUUGAAGGUGCCAAAAUGGACCCUGAGAGUCAGCACUUGUCAGCAGCCUCUGAAGAAAUGUGUUAUCUCUCCCAUUCUGUGAGGAUGCCACUGGUCCAGAAAAGAUUCCAGAACAUACUUAGGCUUCUUCAAGUGUGUGUACUUACUGGGUAUUUGCUUUGCCACUGAACAGCAUCAGAAUAACCUUGCAUGAGCCAAGGGUGAUUUAACAGGUGCUUAACUGUAAUCCGCUUCUUUGGGUCUACCUAGUGGGCAGCAACAUUCAAGCUGUUACUUUCAUCAUCAAGAACUGCGGACAGUUAUUCUUUUCCUAAGAACUUCAAGGUGCCAGAAGCACAAAUAGAGCCCAGCAGUAUUUAUUCACUUCACCAGAAGGAAGGUCAAACACCUGAGCUGUGAAAAGCAGCUACAGCACCUAUGGUUACAGUAAAUGUUCCACGAGCAUUUUGUGUUUUUGACUGCGUAGAUGCAGCCCCAAGGCACACUCAGUACGUUCAGCUUCCUUUAUGAAACAUCUUUUGUUUACAGAUCACUUUUAAUUACACAGCACAAUUAAGAACAUUCAAACGCAAGCUGCUUGAAGACUGAUUAAUUAUUGAAACUGUAAUUAUUUCUAUAACCAGUAAGUAGUACUACGUUAUUGAGAAUUUUCAGCACAAGGCAAUGCUAACCUUUUCUUCAAGGAUAUCAGGCGUGGAACAGUUUAACUUGUUUAAACACUGAAUAUUUUCCAAGCACUCCAUCAAUGUUUUGAGCUGAUGCAACAGCAUUUUGUACAUCAAUCUGAAUAGAAGCAGCUCUUUUACCUGUAGCAGUUGGUUAAGUAGCAGCGUGCUGCUGGGGGAAAGCCAUUUUGGAACAGUGUAUUUUCCUCUCUGCAGUAAAAAAGUUAAUGAAAACAAAAUAACUGUAAUAAAAGAGGAUCUAGAAUGAACCUUGAACAACUAGCUCAAAAGGACUGUCAUAUUAUUUGGAUGAUAUUGACAUCUCUUUUCUUUCGAAGCGUAGGAACAGACAUGCAAACUGCUUUAAGAAUAGCUUGAAUAAAUUAAUGGUAAAAAUUAACACGUACUUGGCUGAGGGCAAUGCUGGAAGGGGAAUUGCUCACAAGAGCUACAAAAUGGUAAGAUCACACCAGAAAUACUUUGUGCUAACAACAGUUAAGGCACACAGUCCAUUUCCUGAAGUAUUCCCAAAAUGAAGUGAUGUGGAGCAUUACAGGGAAAAGAAGAGUGCACACAGAUGCUGUGAUCCUGAUUGGAUUCAAGCAGUAGACUUAAACCAGUGCUGAGUUUUAGACUCCAGGAUAUUUCAGGAUCUGUAACGUGUGACAGUCAAUGACACAACAAUGCCUCGGUGUCUGCAUUUCAAGCACUUUUCAGAUCACAGCCACAUACAAUUAAAACAAAUUCAGUGCAGAAAUAGCAAGCCAGUAUCUUAAUACUUGUGAGAUCAUCCAUUUUUUACUGCAUUCUGACUCAGUUCUGAAACUUGCUCAUCCCAGUUCACUUAAGCAAGUUCCACCAGUUCAAGCAAAGCAGCUCUCAGCUCCUGUGUGCAUCAGACAGACAGAACUAAAUGGUGCAGAAACAAUCCUGGACAGCUUUAAGAGCUCCAUUCUGCUUACAAACUCUCAGUCCAAAGCUAUCCACAAUUUCAAGGCAACGAACACCAGAAGCAGUUGGAUCAUUUGCCAUUUGCCACAUUCUGCAUCUUGGAGUAAUGAUAAGCACAAAGGGUUUCCUGCAGUCCUGCAGAAAUGGACAAAGUCCUGCUUACAAAUGGACAAAGUCUCAAUGCACACACAGUUCACACCAGCCCAAGCAGCCGUGUCACUUGAUUCACACGCUCAGGUUGUUAUGCACUCUGACAGGAAACAGAACCAGCUGCUGAAAUUUGAAGGGAAUCAAUGGGGUCCUACAUUUCCUCCUGAUUCUGGAAGAGGAAAUUCUGAUAGCAGAUGCAGAACUUUGCUCUUCCAGGACAUGAGAAGAGCUGGCAUUUAAUAACAUAAAGAAAUAUAAAUGAAUAAAAUUCAUUUCAGGUAAAUCAGACAAUGCAAUUAUAUUUUUACUACAGGUAGUAUAGGGAGCAGCCAGUUGAAGAACCAGACACAAAAAUCUAGCCCACUGGCAAGAAAAUACUUCUCCUUAAACUCUGUAUGCUAUCAUAUUAUAGAAUACAGUGCUGUGCUAGCCAACCAAGUGUAGAACCAAAUCCACAAAACAGUGGUGGAAAAAGCAGCAAAAAGAGGGGCAAUAUUCAGCAGACAGUCCUUUCCACCCACAGCACAGCUCAGCGUGUUCUGCCAUCAGAAAAGCAAGGCCUCUUGUCAUGCUCAGCUAUUUCCCUUCUCAGUGUAUUCUAGCACCACUGAUACUUACUGUUAUCCUCCUGUAGAGUGCCAUCACAUUGUCAUCAUCAAAAGGAAGAAAGCCACACAACAGAGCAUACAGCAGUACACCCAUGCUCCAAAUAUCUGCCUAAAAAACAAAAGGACAAGUUUACAAACCUGGAGCACCUAAAAUGGCUUACUGACAGACUGUGUUGUCUGCCCUUACCAAAGGCCACAUAUAGCCCAAGAAAAGCUGGCUCUUUCCCUCAGGAAAAAAAACUUAUGGUCUCAGAGAAAGCAUAGGACCUUAUUCAAUUGUUCUUCCAUUUAACUUAAAGCACCACUAAAACUACUACUAUCUUCAUCUUAACUCAUCACCCUGCUGCAGUGCCUUCUAUCUACAAGGAUUUCAGUGGCAAAAACGAAAUCAAACCCAUCAGAAGGGAUUUGGCACAGUUACUGGCUACAGCGAGAGCUGCCAGCACAAUCACCUGUGAGGCUCUGCUGCUGUUCUCUUUAUCUAUAGGAACAACAAGGUUCAUACACCUCACAAUUCUCACUUUGACUGUAAAGAAGGAGGCUUGAAAAGCAGUCUGUGGAAAACAAAGCAAGAAUUAGAAGCCAACAGCAGUGGUGCAAUGGUACCUGAAAGAAUUGCUCCAUCUUUAACAGCAGAGCAAUUCAAGAAGUAUGAGGGAAGUAUGCCCUAGACCAGUUUGGACAGAUGAACAACUGCAAGUAGUGGGUUCCAAAAUCCCAGAUAUGAAAUCAAAGCUGGAAAAACUCCUCACGUUUUCGUCUCUCAAUUUUUAGUACGUUGUGCAUUACAAUGGAAGCAAGUCUUCACACACAGCUUGGAAGCUAAAGACAAGUCUGACAAAACAUGUAAGAUCCUGAGACCGCACAAAAGUUUGACAAAUGAUGGAUAAUUAACAGAGCAAAUUGCUCUUUCAGUGGCUUAGUAAUAGAAGGAGAUCUCUGAAGUUGCUGUUUUACAGAGCCCCAAAGUAGGGAACAAUUGGUGGAAACAGAUGAGGAUCAGCCAGAGACAAACCAGCCAGCUGUGUGAACUGCAGCCCAUUGCACUUUUCAGCCUGUGGCCACUGACAGCUUCUGAGAGCCACUGAGCAACGCAACCCAGAAUUCAGGAGGGAAACCAAGUCAGAGCAAGAUGACAUUAUACCAUUGGGACAACAGCCUGUUGGCCUUGAUUACCUGCAAGAGGCUCUAAAUUUGGCCAGGAAAAGCGAUUUGAGGGUAAGUAAUUCUGUUUGAAUCAGGAAGGCACCCUUCCCAUUAAAUUCUUUCUUACCAGCACCCAUCUGGCAUGUUAAGUAAAGGCUCCUAGAAAGCAGUUUUAAGAUCAAGAAACAAUUCAGUUCAAGCAUAUGCAACCACAGGAUCUGUAUGUCACCUGCAAAACUCAUUUGGUUCUAUCCACAAUCUCAACCUACAUGCAGUUCCUUAGAAGAGAUAAUGGCAUGCCAGCCCAGUGCUCCUAUGACAGGCCCUUGCAUAAGGCAGGUGACACACCUACAAGAUCAUCCACAACUUAGACUAUGAAAAUAGGAAGUCUGGGUAGAGAAAAGAAUCUGUGCUUCUGAGCAAUCUGUUCACCACUCUCACACAGCUAAGGCCCCUCCAAGCAAGAUGCAACUGCAUGUCAACCACAGAAGCAGCUUGAAUUUAAGGUGCUUGGGCAAGUCCCUGUUGCACACUGUGGUCAAACAUGCAUUACUUGGGGGCACAUCAUAUUUGAUUUAAGAUACUCUUACCUUUGGCUUUGCACAGAGCCCAAAGUCUAUCAGCUUCAAAUUAUGUUUCUCAUCAAUUAGCAGAUUUUCCUGGUGAAUGAAAAAGCAGUCAGGAAUGAUUUUCACCUGAGUGUCCAAAUAAACUUAUUUUCUCUUCUGUUAUUUCUUGUUGUGGUCGCUGAUUAGCAGUCUACUAAAAGCCCUCUCUCUCUCUCAGAGAUUUUCACUGACUGCUUGCAGGUACCCAUCUUCCAAUACCCAGGUGGGAAAUACUGGUUUGUCUCUAUUAGCAAGGGCCUGGGGACUAGGAGGACAAGUGGUGAAAGAGCACAAGAUGAAUGCAAGCCAGCAGUGCGUUCUGACAGAAAAAAAAAGCACAACAAUAUAAUUGGCUGCAUUCAAAAGCAGCACAACCAGACCAGGACAAGUCACCCCUGCUUCACACUCAUUGGAUCACAUCUACAAUACUGUAUCUAGUUUUUGGCCAGGAAGGAUAACAACCUGAAGCAAAUUCUGUGAUUGGCCUCCAGUCUGUGCAGGGAGCUGAAGCUCCCACUCAGUGAAGAGAAACUGGAGAGAAAGAUGUUUGUUUAAAGCCUUAUGGCAGCUUCUAAACGCCCACAAGGGAGGCACGAAGACAGACUGAGCAUCUGUACAGCAGGUCAUGGUGGGAGAGUGACAGAAAAGUCAUUCAUGGAAACAGCAGACUGGACACAAGGAAAAAAAGUUUUUGAAUCGCUGAACAGAAUGCCCAGAGAGAGCAUGCAGCCUCAUCCCUGGGAGAGGAAAAUGGAAAAAGCUCUGAGAAACUUGGUCUCAGGAUUCUUGGAGCAGCAGAUUCAGUAACAGAAUCACAGAAUGGCCAGGGUUGGAAGGGACCUCAAGGAUCAAGAAUCUCCAACCCCUCUGCCACAUGCAGGGCCAGCAACUUCCCCAUUUAAUGCUAGCCCAUUAGGUCCUGUAAAUCUCUUCCACUACUAGGAGGCUAACUGGACAUUGAUUGGUAGGUGGUGAGCAAUUGCUUUUGCAUUCAUCAUAACUGUUAUCUUUUCCCUUUUCUUUAUCUCAGUAAAUAAUUUUAUUUCA